CAGUUACAAAGGAGUCUUGGAAAGCAAGGACUGGGGCACACGCACUGCCUCCAACAAGCUGGGGUUCUGUCAGGAAGGAAGAAUGUGGGGUGGCACACCGUCCUCGCACCCCCAGGGCAAACUUGACCUCGUUAGAUUGGAAGAUUUCUUUUCAGUCUCCUGUCCUGAAGUGAAAAGUUGAUUGGAGAUCCCCUUUAACAAGAUGACUAGUAUGGACUUUCUUUCCUGUGCUGAUUCUCAUAUAUUGGAACAGAUAUUAUUUUGUUCCACUGAAAUGAAUAGGCAGUUUUCAAAAAAAGAAAAAGAAAGAAGAUACACAUAGAUGGCCAAACUAUCUGCUGAAAAAAAAAAAAUCUCAAUUUUCUUCAUCAAGACAUGUAAAUCGGACUUCCCUGGUGUCCCGUGGUUAAGAAUCUGCCUGCCAAUGCCGGGGCCAUGCGUUCAAUCCCUGGUCAGGGAACUAGAUCCCACAUGCUGUGGAGCAACCAAGCCUGUGUGCUGUAACUGCUGAGCCUUUGAGAUUAGAGCCCGAGCUUGCUGCAACUAGAGAAAGCCCAUGUGCAACAAUGAAGAUCCAGUGCAGCC
ensembl:lncRNA